UACGUAAGCGGCGAGCGUUAUCCGGAAUUACUGGGCGUAAAGCGCACGUAGGCGGGUCGUUAAGUCAGGGGUGAAAUCCCGGAGCUCAACUCCGGAACUGCCUUUGAUACUGUCGAUCUGGAGUAUGGAAGAGGUGAGUGGAAUUCCGAGUGUAGAGGUGAAAUUCGUAGAUAUUCGGAGGAACACCAGUGGCGAAGGCGGCUCACUGGUCCAUUACUGACGCUGAGGUGCGAAAGCGUGGGGAGCAAACAGG
rnacentral:rRNA from 1 species